UCGAGGAUCUUCGGCAAUGAGCGCAAGCUUGACCGAGCGACGCCGCGUGUGCGACGAAGGCCUUCGGGUUGUAAAGCACUGUCGAGGGGGAGGAAAGCCGAAAGGUCUGACCUAUCCCUGGAGGAAGCACGGGCUAAGUUCGUGCCAGCAGCCGCGGUAAGACGAACCGUGCGAACGUUGUUCGGAAUCACUGGGCUUAAAGGGCGCGUAGGCGGGCCUUAAAGUCAGGGGUGAAAUCCUCCAGCUUAACUGGAGAACUGCCUUUGAUACUGAAGGUCUCGAGUAAGGUAGGGGCAUGCGGAACUGAUGGUGGAGCGGUGAAAUGUGUUGAUAUCAUCAGGAACUCCGGUGGCGAAAGCGGCAUGCUGGACCUUCACUGACGCUGAUGCGCGAAAGCUAGGGGAGCGAACGGGAUUAGAUACCCGCGUAGUCC
rnacentral:rRNA from 1 species